rnacentral:tRNA from 1 species
GCGACUAUAGCUCAGUUGGUUAGAGCACCACCUUGACAUGGUGGGGUCACUGGUUCGAGUCCAGCUAGUCGCACCA